UACAAUGUUUAGCUCUUCGUCUUAUUAAAAAGAUUUUAUGAUUAAUAAUUUUAUUUUUAUUAGAUGAUAAAAUAUGAAUAGUACUUUAUGUGUGACUAAUUUUCUAAAUAUUUCUUAAAAAAAAUUUAAAAUAAGACGGAUGGUCAAAUAUUCGACA
rnacentral:pre_miRNA from 1 species